AAUGAUAUGCCUGAGGAUUAAAAGGGUUAUUAUGAUAUAAUAAAUUAUGUAAUUGUAAUUACUGUCAUUA
rnacentral:tRNA from 1 species